GCUGUGGUGGCCUAGUGGUUAGAGCAUCUGUCUCAGAUUAGGGAAGUCGCGGGUUCGAACACCGGCCGAUUCAUACCA